rnacentral:rRNA from 1 species
GAUGAACGCUGGCGGCGUGCUUAACACAUGCAAGUCGAACGGUGAACGAGGGAGCUUGCUCCCUCCGGAUCAGUGGCGAACGGGUGAGUAACACGUGAGCAAUCUGCCCCGAACUCUGGGAUAAGCGCUGGAAACGGCGUCUAAUACCGGAUACGACGCGCGAAGGCAUCUUCUGCGCGUGGAAAGAACUUCGGUCCAGGAUGAGCUCGCGGCCUAUCAGGUAGUUGGUGAGGUAACGGCUCACCAAGCCUACGACGGGUAGCCGGCCUGGGGGGGUGACCGGCCACACUGGGACUGAGACACGGCCCAGACUCCUACGGGAGGCAGCAGUGGGGAAUAUUGCACAAUGGGCGCAAGCCUGAUGCAGCAACGCCGCGUGAGGGACGACGGCCUUCGGGUUGUAAACCUCUUUUAGCAGGGAAGAAGCGAAAGUGACGGUACCUGCAGAAAAAGCACCGGCUAACUACGUGCCAGCCGCCGCCGUAACAC